GCACCNACGCUUGNGNCAUNNCUCUAAANACAUGCAAGUCGAACGAUGAAGCCCUUCGGGGUGGAUUAGUGGCGAACGGGUGAGUAACACGUGGGCAAUCUGCCCUUCACUCUGGGACAAGCCCUGGAAACGGGGUCUAAUACCGGAUAANACUCCUGCCUGCAUGGGCGGGGGUUGAAAGCUCCGGCGGUGAAGGAUGAGCCCGCGGCCUAUCAGCUUGUUGGUGGGGUAAUGGCCCACCAAGGCGACGACGGGUAGCCGGCCUGAGAGGGCGACCGGCCACACUGGGACUGAGACACGGCCCAGACUCCUACGGGAGGCAGCAGUGGGGAAUAUUGCACAAUGGGCGAAAGCCUGAUGCAGCGACGCCGCGUGAGGGAUGACGGCCUUCGGGUUGUAAACCUCUUUCAGCAGGGAAGAAGCGAAAGUGACGGUACCUGCAGAAGAAGCGCCGGCUAACUACGUGCCAGCAGCCGCGGUAAUACGUAGGGCGCAAGCGUUGUCCGGAAUUAUUGGGCGUAAAGAGCUCGUAGGCGGCUUGUCACGUCGGAUGUGAAAGCCCGAGGCUUAACCUCGGGUCUGCAUUCGAUACGGGCUAGCUAGAGUGUGGUAGGGGAGAUCGGAAUUCCUGGUGUAGCGGUGAAAUGCGCAGAUAUCAGGAGGAACACCGGUGGCGAAGGCGGAUCUCUGGGCCAUUACUGACGCUGAGGAGCGAAAGCGUGGGGAGCGAACAGGAUUAGAUACCCUGGUAGUCCACGCCGUAAACGUUGGGNAACUAGGUGUUGGCGACAUUCCACGUCGUCGGUGCCGCAGCUAACGCAUUAAGUUCCCCGCCUGGGGANUACNGGCCNNAGGGUNAAACUCAAAGGAAUUGACGGGGGCCCGCACAACCGGGGGANCAUUNGGCUUANUUCCAC
rnacentral:rRNA from 1 species